AUUUUAUAAAGAAGAGAAAUUUACCUUUUGAUUUUGAAAGUUCAAGACUUCAAACAUUACAAUCCAAAAAGGAGAGUUUAGUGAAAGAUUUAACGAUGAAUCGAUAAAAUUUUUGAGUCAAACAUCAUUUUUUACCCCAAAGGGAAUGGCGGAAAAGGCAAUUGUUAAAGAUGAUAUCAAGGAUAUCUGUGAAUUUUAUCAAUUAAAUACAAGUCAAGUUUUUGAGGAAAUGUUGAUGUUUAGAAAUAUUUAUAAAAUGGCUAAAACGGGGGACGUAAUUAUUACUCGUGACCUAGAGGUUAAAGAAGAUUUGUCAGAUUCUGAGAAUUCUUCUUCUGAUGAUGAUAAUAAUUCUGAGAUGAAUGAUUCAGACUGGAGAAACUAUUCAUUUAUUUUACCUUAUCGUCUGCUUAUAAAUUUUUCUGCUUUCC